CAGCACUAAGUACGCUGCCGCUCCCACCCAGGCUCCGCGCUACGCUCCAGCCAAACUUCUGCAAACCAUGUGCAGCCGAGGCGAGGAAACUUCUCUCCACCUAUUGGGGCUGGAGGCUUGAGUCACAAGCCCCAUGUUUACAUAAAGCGUUAGGUAGGAAGCUCCUGGAGAUGCUCCGGGAAGGCUCGGAGAACUCAUGCUAGGAUCCUGCUGCAAGCGGCCUGCUUGACAUCUCUCUGCCCGCACCUUUGUCCCUCUGCUGCCCGAAUUAGCAUACGUUUCAAAGCUUAAGUCUUGCAACGGACUUGAGAAUGAAUCAAGGAGCUCAUUGUGGAAUUAUUAAUACUCUUUUUUUUUUUAAAGAUCGCCAGUGGUAGUCAGGAAGUCAAGCUGGAAUAGAAAUGCUUGUUUGUGGUGUGUCUGGAGAUAGAACUGCUUCCUUACUGACCGGUUGAGUGUGAGACGUUUCUGUUAGGAUUUAACUUGAUGCUUGUGGCAGCAGUUGGGUUUUAGCUGGUGAAGCUUUGGUCCAGAAAAAUAGAAGUCUGCAGAAAAAUCGAGGUCUGCAAAGCAUGUUUGUUACUUAGGAACUAUUUAGAUUCUUAACUUUUGGUCUCUGAGAUACUGUUAGAGUGGAUUCUAGAAUUGGCCAUUCUGUCAAAUUUAUUAGAGGUCCUGAAAUCUUUUUAACAGGGAGUUCCUGAAACAUGGCAACUAGACAGGCAUGGAAUUUAAUAUUGUUUGAUGGUGAUUUUUAACAUUUUAAGAUUUACUUUUGCGUCAUUGCCAUUUUGCUAGAAUUUUAUUUGUAUCUGUAGAAGUAUGAUGUUGUCCUUUGAGGAGUGCAUUUAAUGAAUUCUUUUACAUGUCUAGGAGUUUGAAGACUUAAGACUAUGGCUUAAUCUGUUUGGAAAUGGAGGCGGCAGUUCCCUAGGCUUCUUUUUGGUUUUAAAGCAUGCUUUCCUGAUUAUAAGCUCCUUGAUUUGAUGUGGAGCCCAUUUUGGUUUAUUUUAUGUAGCGAGACCUACACAGCACCCUGUUCACAAAACACUUCAGGCAGGCUUACUAUCUUAAUGCAGAAUUGAUUUAACAUACAGAAGUGUCCCUGCUGAGUGUCAUUUGGUAACUGGGUUGUACCUGGUGCUACUGAUGACUAAUUUCUUCUUUCUUGAAGACGAUACAUAGCUGGAUAACUUCAGUGGUCCAAAAGAUGAACCCGAGUUCCUGCUGAAGUCGGUCUGUAAGUAACAAAGGCAGGGUUUUCUCUGAGGGCAUCUAGUCUCGCUCCUUCCUCGCUCUUAAAAUUUGAGGAAAGAGUCUCAAGCAAUUAGUCAACUCCAUUUAAUGUAGGAAAACUAAACAGAUUUUCUCUUACUUUUGUCAUGAGAAAACAAUAAUCUGUGUUGAUAGAGGUGAGAAAAUUGGCUGCCUUUAAAAAAAAAAAAUCUUGCCUAAAGAGUUUAUAGUGUAGAACUUGUGUUCUCUAGUUUUCCAGCUUGAACCCUUAUAUGCGAUUGUGGUUAUAUUUUCAAUUUAUUUGGCCUCUGAAUAAUGCUUGAUGUCUUUAUGGAUUUGCAGGCUCCUCAUACCAGUACCCCCAUCCCAGCUGAUUUUAGAGGAAACAGAAAAUUUACUAAAUGAAUUUGAACUACUUUACUGUUAUCUCUUGUAUUACUGACUGUGAGACUGUGCUUGGUAACUUCCAGUUAGCACAUUUCCAGGACCUAAAAGACAACAUUAAAACUAAAGGAUAAUCAGGGUGUGCAUGUAAAGAAGACUGUAUUGUGUUUUUCUGCUGUGACGUUUUCAUGGAAACUUUUGACCUAGAGUGCUUUGUUCUAAGACUGGUUUUGGCUUACUGGUAUAGGAGUUGGGUGAGGACCUGACGUUGCUAGUGUGAGUGAAGCCAGGAGAAAUUACCAAGGCCUGCAUUGAAUUUUUUUUUUUAAUCCAUUAGGCUUUUCUAAUACAUGGGGAUAUAGUAAAUCAUCUUAACACUUUUGCUCUUACAGAAUUGGAUAGUGGCUUUUUUCUUCUUAGACCGCUUUCCAGUUUAUAACCAGGGCAUCUGACCCUUCAAUUCUGCCCUAAAGCACUGAUUGUGCAUACCCCUGUAAUUACUCUUCUUGGUGUCUGUUUACCUAUGUGUCGUAUCCCCCGUCACACUGUAGGAUUCUUACAGGGACUUCCUUUCAUACAUACUAUGCUGGUGCUCAAGUACCUACAGAACUGACUUUGUAGUUGAAGCGACCCACAGUGAUAAUUUCUCCCACCAGAACUGAAUGAAAAAUGUAGAAAGCUUCUGGAUAUAGGUGGCACAUACGGCUGGUGUAUAUGUCAAUCGCCGGCUCUGUUCUUGAGAUACCCACAGUUCAGUGGGGAGAAUACAAUCAUAUACUUAAUACACAAGGUGCAGGGUGCUCUGCUGGCGCGGUGAAGCUGGUGUUGAAACUGAAUCUUAAAGGGUGAGUGGAUGUUUCAAAGAGAAGAUAGGGUUUUAUGAGGUGUACAGGGUUGUGCAUUCUUCAGUAUACAUCUGCCUGAAUUGUUUUAUGGUUGGCAAGUUGGCAUCAUAUUUUGAUAAGUUGCUUCUUACCAAGAGCAUGCCUGCUCUUGGUAAAUUACUUCUCUAGAACUUUGCUGUCCGUUUGAAUAGCUCCUAGCUAAAUGUGGCCGUGUAGGUUAAGGUCACCAUACCACGUGCGCUUCAGUAGUCACAUGGGGACAGAGGCGGCCAUAUUGGACCACACAGAUAUUACUGAACACUUGUCACAGAAAGUUCCGUUGGACAGUGCUGCUACAGAGUCAUGUUUUGUUCAUCUGCACGUUUAUAGGAGAAACCUUAAUAGCUGCCUGACAUUGGGAGAGACAGUGAUAGGUGUUUACGAAUAGACAGAAGGGAGUAUACGUUACUGUGGUUAAGAAUAUUUAGACUUUGGAGUCAGAUCUGGGUUGGAAUCAUACUCUGUCCCUUACGCUGCCUGGCCUUUGAUGUCUUAUGCAUUCAAUGUCUGAGCUUCAGUUUGUUUUGUUAAAAUAGGGAUGAUAAUACAGGGUUGUGUGAGUGUAAAAAUACGUGUGUAAGGGGACUUCACACAAUGCCUUAGUAAGUGAUAGGACCAUUAAUAAGUUUUAAAAUAAUCACUGAUUUGAAAAAAAUGAGUUAUCUUACAGUAAAGGUAACCCCCCCCCCUUUGGUGUACAGGUCUGUGAAGUUUGUCUACAUUUGUGUAAACCCACUCAGGAUACAGGGCAGUUCUCUCUCUUUAGAAACCCCCCCAGUCAGUCCUUUUACAUGCUAACCUCCAUUCUCACUCCUCCCUGGCAGCACUGAUUUCUCCUUCAUCACUUCUAGUAUGUUAUAUAAAUGGAAUCAUGUAGUCUUUUGAGACUGAUUUCAGCCAGCUGUGUGAGUCAUAAAAAGUUGUAACAUAUUAAUAGUACAACUGAUUUUUAAAGAUGUUGGUUUUGAAAUGUUUCUUUUAAAAAAACAAAAAAAUGCAAGUCUGAAUUUUUGCUUAUAGAAUUGUUGUGUGACUGGAGUUUUUAUGUUUGAAAGUGAAGUAAAUGAUGAAAUUUAUAGGGAAAAACUGCUCCCCCAGUUGGUGACAACUGUAUGUGUAUCAUCUUGUUUAUGAAGCUGGUUGGUUAGGGGAAGUUUUUUUUAAAGAUCGGUAGAGUUGUAGCACAGUCCUAAUUUGAGAAAAAGUGGCUGUUAAAACAUCAUUAAUUUACAAAAUGUGGUGUGAAGGUAGGUAACAGCUGGCUGCUUUGCCCAGGCCUUCCCCAGCUUAAGGCUGAAAGCCUGGCUGCCUCCCAGAAUCCCCCAGGGCCAGGGAACACAGGAUCUCAAAGGGCCACAUGAAGAAAAUUUGCGGUUUACAGCUCAGAUUUCAUUAGUGAGGCAUCAGGUAUUUGAUAAUGUGUUACACCCCACCGCAGGUAUGUGGGGUCUUCUUGGCUUCCCCACUGGGGGUCAGACCUGUGCGGGAGGACCACCAGGGAGUCCCAGGUCUGAACUUUUCUGUUAGUGGUGUUUUAAAAAACUGAUGACAAGCAGAUUUGCAAGUCUCAUGUAUAGAAGCUAAAUUAAAAGUCAAAUUUUAUACUUAACCCACAGUCUUGUGUUUGGAGUUUUUCAGUUCACAUAGUGAGGUCUAAAUCUGAAGUAAAAUUUGAAGUUCUUCAGUUGACGUAGCUAUUGUGUUCCCCUUUCUUAGCUUUUCGUACCAUCUCUUCUAUAGAUGUCUUCAUAGGUCAAGCAGAUUGCUUAGUUGUUACCUGCUGCCUUCAUGGAAAUGGAAGUAGGGCCCUUAAUGUUUUAUCACUGGAUAUGGGAGUCCAGAGUUGCAUGUCAUAACUUUGGAAUAAGUACUGGGUGAAUUUGUGCAAGAAUGACUAGCUUUGUAAGCUGUACAGGCUUGCACCCAUGCUUUCCAGUCUGUUGUUAUAAGGGGAUGUUGAAACAUUUUGUUUUUAAGGAAUGUUUAAAUCUGUUUUAAGGAAAUGUUUCAAAUUGUGCAAAAGGAGUAAAAAUGUGGCCUUUGAAAAGUUCUGUUAAGCCUGGGGAGGAAAGCUCUGCUGAGGAAAGAGUUUGGAAUAGUGACCUUAUCUGUUCCUUAAAAAAUGGCAAUUCAGAAGCAAUGGAGGGAGCCAAAAAGUAAAAACAGAUUUGGAUUGGAAGUAUUCAUAAAACCUCCCUCUAUUUCUCAUCUUUAACCACCUUCUCCUAGCACACCUCUCUCUCACACACACACACUUGAUAAAGGCAGGAGAUUGCAUGAGAAAAUGGGUUGGAUUGGAGAAUCAAGUCUUCUGAGACUCGGUUACUUAAAAUCUAUCUAUAAACCUGAGUAGAAAUUAAUAACUAGGCUCUAACUUAGUGGCUCUGAGUUGAGUGAGCCUAAGGAUUUCUUCCUUGGAGUUGUAAAAAAAAAAAAAAAAUUUCCCAGCAGCAACCUGGUUCUGAUUGCGGAACACAGGAAUCACUCAUUGUGAAAGCCUGAGGACCCUAUUUGGGAAAACUGCUCUUAAGGGGUAGACAACCAUUAAAAAUAAAUUUAUUAAAAAUAAAUAUGAAUUUAAAAUAAAAUGAAUAUGGUUGAUAUUUGUAAAAAAUUUAGAAAUGAAUAUGGUUGAUUUUUGUCAAAAAUUUAGAAAUAAUACCACCUGGUAUAUGUAAGAUGUGUAGAGUUUAAAAGGUCUUUUUGGGCUUGCAUUGAAGAGACAGUCUAUUUUAGACAGUGGAGACACUGCUUUGUAUUUAAAUGAAGCACUUUAUGUGGAUGCAGCAUGCACUUCAAGCUUCGCACAUGUUCCUUAACCGGGGUUCCGAGGGGGAUGCUGGGGCUCUGAGUCAGUCUUCAUUUAAUCUCAGGAUCUUAUGUGGGUUUUUACCCAGAUGUACUAACAGUUAACUCUCAUAGCUUGAGGUUGGUUAACUCCGUUAACCCUCACAGCAGCCCUGUGAGGUAGCGCUACUGUUACACCCAUUUUACAAGUGAGAGAGGCCCAGACAGGCUCUGUGACUCGCCCAGCAUGAUGCUGCUGCUAGGUGGUGUGGCCUGAGGACUCAGACCCAGGUGAGUCUUAACCACUGAGCUUCUGUGACAGAAAUUUGGUGCCAUUUUUGAGGAGUGCUUCCGGAGCCACUGAUGAAUAUUAUCAAUAUUUUUUUAGGCUCUCAAUAUUCUAGUAUAAUCUCAUGGACAUUUUGUUCUGAGAGAAGCUGUGAUCUUCAAAAACUAUUUUGCUUGUAUUAAACCUAAAAUAAUUUAAAAACUUUCCUAAUAACUUAGGUUGAAGCUUUUAUCAUAAAUUUAAA
ensembl:lncRNA